GAUGAACGCUAGCGGCAGGCCUAAUACAUGCAAGUCGAACGCUCAGUAGCAAUACUGGGAGUGGCGCACGGUGCGUAACGCGUACACAAUCUACCUCUAAGCGGGGGACACCUCCUGGAAACGGGGAUUAAUACCGCAUAAUAUGCCGAGGUCGCAUGACUUUGGUAUUAAAGCAGCAAUGCACUUAGAGAUGAGUGUGCGUCCCAUUAGGUAGUUGGUGAGGUAACGGCUCGACCAAGCCUAUGAUGGGUAGCCGGUCUGAGAGGAUGGUCGGCCACACGGGCACUGAGACACGGGCCCGACUCCUACGGGAGGCAGCAGUAAGGAAUAUUGGUCAAUGGUGGAAACACUGAACCAGCCAUGCCGCGUGGAGGAAUAAGGUCCU
rnacentral:rRNA from 1 species